rnacentral:lncRNA from 1 species
AGGAGAAAACAGGUACUAAUACGGUGCCUCUCCCGUCUUUCCCAUGUCCGUGGUUAUGGAAGCGGCAGGCAAACUGAUGUUGAAACUCUAGAUAAAUAUCUACAAUGGAACAUUUAUUGAUAUCUGUAUUUAGAUAUUUUGUGUCAAAUGUCCUGGAUGUCAAUUUGUCAUCAGAAGAUUAUUGAUUUGCAUUUGAAACUGGAGAUGAAGAUUUCUGAUGGAGUGGAAAUGAAAAAUUAUGGCAAUGGAAUAGCAUCUGAACAUGGAAUAACAUGUGACAAUGAGAAUGGGCACAAACUCUCAUGUCAAAGUUGGACAACACAACCCAAAAGGAUGAAAAGCAUCUCAAAAGCAGGCAGAAGUGUUAGAACAUACCCGAUUCCCCAACUCAUCCUAAUAAUUGCCUAUGAGUCUCCACCAGUUUCUUGAUGAAGCUCUCUGAUGAUAAUUGGACUAGACUCUAAUAUAUAGUAAAGCACAAUAUGGUCUCUGUGGCAUCUAGACACUGUUUCCUGGAAGCAGACAUCAGCUGUAGGCUUCCACUCAUGGCAUGGACCUCAAGUUGUACCAAUUAUUCAUUUGGCCACACCAUCAUCAAUUGCAGACAGAAAAAAAUUAUAAGGGUAACUGUUAUUUGGGAUGUAAAUUGGAAUUAUUUCAUUAGCAAGAAAAGUUACCCUCUAUAAAACAGGAUGGUCACCUCCUCCCCUCCCCUAGCAGGCCUCCCCUUCCCUAAGGACUCAAGUCUCUUCAGGAUUAGGUGAAUCUUAUCCCACUGGGGCUAGACCAGGCAGUCUUCUGUUGUGUAUGUGCAGCAGCCUCGGAGCAGCCUAGAUGAGCAAAUCACUGAAUCUUCUUCAGAGAACAUCAAUAUGUAUUUAUGUCCCUGCUGAUUCACCAGAAUAUUGGAGGGAGGGACAGAUAAGAUCUACUGAUCAGAAAUUUUGGGAAUCUGAUAUGAAAUACGUAAGAACAAAGCACAAUGUUUUUAUUUCAUGAAAAGCUCAAAUCAUUAUACUAUCACAUGUUAGCAUCUUAACACAGCACUGAAUCCAGACUGGGAUCAAAGUUGGUACCAUGGGAAUAGUUAUUUAAUAGAAAGCAGAAUAUUUGUGACAACUGCCAUUCCUAUUCAACAAAUUGGCAAGCAAUGCAUCAAAAUCAUGUAAACUCAGUAAAAAAAAGCUGAAUAAAAUACAGAAUGGCCAAAAAUAAAACUACUCAGGUCAGAAAUAUGUUUUUGAAUGUAAUGUAGCCACAACCAUGUUUUGAAGAGAAACCUCAGCACUUGGAAGAAAUAUAAUCCAAUAGCAUAACAGAAAGGAGGCUUUGUCUGGUUAUGAGGCGUGAAAGUACAAGGCAGAACUCUCCUCAGUAAAGAUUGCAACCCUCCUACAGAGAGCUGAACUGUAUGCAAGAGCCUAACCCAGCAAGGAAGACUUUCUGAGCUUACUGAUUUGGUUUUACAAAAAGAUUGACAGCAGCUCUAUUACAACCUGUAAAUUUAGCUGCAAAAUACAACUUGGUGUAUGUGGGAAAACAUGUUUAU